GAUGAACGCUAGCGGGAGGCCUAACACAUGCAAGCCGAGCGGUAUUUGUUCUUCGGAACAGAGAGAGCGGCGCACGGGUGCGGAACACGUGUGCAACCUGCCUUUAUCUGGGGGAUAGCCUUUCGAAAGGAAGAUUAAUACCCCAUAAUAUAUUGAGUGGCAUCAUUUGAUAUUGAAAACUCCGGUGGAUAGAGAUGGGCACGCGCAAGAUUAGAUAGUUGGUGAGGUAACGGCUCACCAAGUCAAUGAUCUUUAGGGGGCCUGAGAGGGUGAUCCCCCACACUGGUACUGAGACACGGACCAGACUCCUACGGGAGGCAGCAGUGAGGAAUAUUGGACAAUGGGAUAGCGCCUGAUCCAGCCAUCCCGCGUGAAGGACGACGGCCCUAGGGGUUGUAAACUUCUUUUGUAUAGGGAUAAACCUACGCUCGUGAGAGUAGCUGAAGGUACUAUACGAAUAAGCACCGGCUAACUCCGUG
rnacentral:rRNA from 1 species